GAUAAACGCUGGCGGCGUGCCUAAUACAUGCAAGUCGAGCGAACGGACGAGAAGCUUGCUUCUCUGAUGUUAGCGGCGGACGGGUGAGUAACACGUGGAUAACCUACCUAUAAGACUGGGAUAACUUCGGGAAACCGGAGCUAAUACCGGAUAAUAUUUUGAACCGCAUGGUUCAAAAGUGAAAGACGGUCUUGCUGUCACUUAUAGAUGGAUCCGCGCUGCAUUAGCUAGUUGGUAAGGUAACGGCUUACCAAGGCAACGAUGCAUAGCCGACCUGAGAGGGUGAUCGGCCACACUGGAACUGAGACACGGUCCAGACUCCUACGGGAGGCAGCAGUAGGGAAUCUUCCGCAAUGGGCGAAAGCCUGACGGAGCAACGCCGCGUGAGUGAUGAAGGUCUUCGGAUCGUAAAACUCUGUUAUUAGGGAAGAACAUAUGUGUAAGUAACUGUGCACAUCUUGACGGUACCUAAUCAGAAAGCCACGGCUAACUACGUGCCAGCAGCCGCGGUAAUACGUAGGUGGCAAGCGUUAUCCGGAAUUAUUGGGCGUAAAGCGCGCGUAGGCGGUUUUUUAAGUCUGAUGUGAAAGCCCACGGCUCAACCGUGGAGGGUCAUUGGAAACUGGAAAACUUGAGUGCAGAAGAGGAAAGUGGAAUUCCAUGUGUAGCGGUGAAAUGCGCAGAGAUAUGGAGGAACACCAGUGGCGAAGGCGACUUUCUGGUCUGUAACUGACGCUGAUGUGCGAAAGCGUGGGGAUCAAACAGGAUUAGAUACCCUGGUAGUCCACGCCGUAAACGAUGAGUGCUAAGUGUUAGGGGGUUUCCGCCCCUUAGUGCUGCAGCUAACGCAUUAAGCACUCCGCCUGGGGAGUACGACCGCAAGGUUGAAACUCAAAGGAAUUGACGGGGACCCGCACAAGCGGUGGAGCAUGUGGUUUAAUUCGAAGCAACGCGAAGAACCUUACCAAAUCUUGACAUCCUUUGACAACUCUAGAGAUAGAGCCUUCCCCUUCGGGGGACAAAGUGACAGGUGGUGCAUGGUUGUCGUCAGCUCGUGUCGUGAGAUGUUGGGUUAAGUCCCGCAACGAGCGCAACCCUUAAGCUUAGUUGUCAUCAUUAAGUUGGGCACUCUAAGUUGACUGCCGGUGACAAACCGGAGGAAGGUGGGGAUGACGUCAAAUCAUCAUGCCCCUUAUGAUUUGGGCUACACACGUGCUACAAUGGACAAUACAAAGGGCAGCGAAACCGCGAGGUCAAGCAAAUCCCAUAAAGUUGUUCUCAGUUCGGAUUGUAGUCUGCAACUCGACUACAUGAAGCUGGAAUCGCUAGUAACCGUAGAUCAGCAUGCUACGGUGAAUACGUUCCCGGGUCU
rnacentral:rRNA from 1 species